CUCACCAUUACCAAUAACAGGGGAGGUUAGCAUGUUAUAUCAUACCCCCAAGACAUGCUAACCUCUCACCAUUACCAAUAACAGGGGAGGUUAGCAUGUUAUAUCAUACCCCCAAGACAUGCUAACCUCUCACCAUUACCAAUAACAGGGGAGGUUAGCAUGUUAUAUCAUACCCCCAAGACAUGCUAACCUCUCACCAUUACCAAUAACAGGGGAGGUUAGCAUGUUAUAUCAUACCCCCAAGACAUGCUAACCUCUCACCAUUACAAUAACAGGGGAGGUUAGCAUGUUAUAUCAUACCCCCAAGACAUGCUAACCUCUCACCAUUACAAUAACAGGGGAGGUUAGCAUGUUAUAUCAUACCCCCAAGACAUGCUAACCUCUCACCAUUACAAUAACAGGGGAGGUUAGCAUGUUAUAUCAUACCCCCAAGACAUGCUAACCUCUCACCAUUACAAUAACAGGGGAGGUUAGCAUGUUAUAUCAUACCCCCAAGACAUGCUAACCUCUCACCAUUACAAUAACA